rnacentral:lncRNA from 10 species
AGAGGCCGCUCCAUAGACCAAGGACAUCCGUGGGGGUCCCAGGGUCCCAGCCAGGGGUGGGCGGGCUCCUGAGUGAAACUCGGGUGGUCCUGGAAAGAGGGGGCGAGACCCUCCGUGUAUCUGGAGUCUGUGCCCCAAGGCCCCACGUGGGGACUGGGAACGAAGAGAGAGGAUGCUGUCGGGGGCUCAGCCUCCUCACACCUGCCCGGGCACCAGGCACGGCCUUCAGGCCUCCGGGACGGUCCUGGUGGGGCUCGGCCCCCCUCGUCCUGCGCCUCCUCUGGGCCCGCGGGUCCCCAGCUCCCCCAGCCCCGCCGCGGGCCGCACCUCUCUGGACGGCGCUGUCAGGAGUAGGAGUUCAGCCCCAGCGCAUCCGCGCCAGGACCCGGGCUCUGUGGCCACUGAGUGCAGAACACGCCGAGCUUCGGAGGUCUGGGAGUUCCAAGUGGAAUUUGAAUUUUUAAUCUAAUUGUCUGAUUCGUGAACUCGGAAGCUGACGUCACGCCCAGACGUCCCAAGGUAUGAGCUGUAGAUACGCACGUGAGCGCUGGUGGGAGACGCCAGGCUGGGAUUUCCGCUCGAUCUGGGAAUGAGCAAUGCAACCUAAUGACACCCAGAGCUCCUGAAUCACCCGAGGAAAAUGACGAGAGACUCCCUCCGGUGGGAACGUCUCCUAGAAACAAGGCCUAAGAUGGGGCGACAACAGCCCCACAGCUGUGUCCAGAUGCAGGGAGCACUCGCCUGUGCUGUGAGGGACGGCCGGUGUCAUCGUUGGAGCUUCCUAAGAGUCCCAGAGGCUGAUGCACCUCCCAGACUCUCCUCGGCCCGGCUCCCUGGGCCCUGCUCCAGGGGCUUCAUUGCUCCCUGCCCCGGGUCACCCCUCGGCUCACCGUCUCUCAGGUGUGGAAUAUCCUGCUCCAAUCAAAGCCAUGUCACCUGCGUUGUCCAGUGAAACAUCAGUGGACAGGCGCUGCCCGGGCUCCAGGGAGCUCCUCACUGAGGCUCACUCCCUGUGCCUCUGCCAUCAGCACAGGGGGACAUGCCUGGCUGCCUGUGGGACCAGGGAGGACGCGCGGUGCGGGAGCAGAGCCAGCCACACUGCCGCUGCUGCACUGUUCAUCUGAGUGGCGCAAGGUUAUGUGUUUCAGCUGCGAGUUUUUCAAAUUGUUGCAAAUCUUCAAACAUUUUUCCAACAAAUUUACUGAAAAAAAUCCACAUAUAAGUGGCACCCCCACCAGUUUAAACCUGUGUUGUUCAAGAGUCAGCUAUUUUUAUGAGGUGUUUUCAAAAGUUUAUGGAAAAUGAAUCUUAUGAAUAAAACUAUGCAUGGAUUUCAAAUCUUUUGCACCAAAAUAAACUCAUACUAACUUGUUAUAAAAUGUCUGAGUUUUAUACAGUUUAGUUUGAGACACUAAGAAAGAUAAGACAUCAGUUUGGAAAGGGUCAUCAGAGCAACGUGAAUUAUGCAAAACUGAAGCAAAAACAAACACCAAAUUUAUGGUGAAGGUUAGGUAGAGGAAUGGUGAAGUCAUUGAUGCUUUCUAAACAGUUUAGGUGGAUAAUGCCCCACAGAAAGCAGCCAUUUACAAAUGGUUACGCCAUUUUAAGAAGGAACAGGAUGAUGUUGAACAUGAAGCCUGCAGCAGCAGACCACAUCAAUUUGAGAGGAAAAAAUUAAUCUUGCUUAUGCCCUAGUUGAAGAGGACUGGUGCUUAGCAGCACAAACAAUAGCCAACACCAUAGACACCUCAAUUGGUUCAGCUUUCCCAAUCCUGGCCAAAAAAUUAAAGUUGAGCAAAUUUUCUACGUAAUGAGUGCCCAAACUUGCACCCAGAUCAGUUGCCAACCAGGGCAGAGCUUUCAAUGGAAAUUUUAAGCAAGAGGGGGAUGAAGAUCUUGAAGCAUUGCUUUGAAGAAUUGUAACAGGAGAUGAAACAUGGCUUUGCUAGUACCAUUCUGGAGACACAAUCAAAGCAAUGGCUACCAAGAGGUGGAAGUGCUGCAGUCACAGCAAACGUGGCCACCCAAGAGCAAAGGUCAUGGCAACAAUUUUGGGGAAUGUUCAAGGCAUUUUGUCUGUUGACUUUCUGGAGGGCCAAAGAACAAUAACAGCUGCUUAUUAUGAGAGUGUUUUGAGAAAGUUAGCCAAAGCUUUAGCAGAAAGUUGCCUAGGA